rnacentral:rRNA from 1 species
CCUACGGGAGGCAGCAGUCGAGAAUCAUUCACAAUGGGGGAAACCCUGAUGGUGCGACGCCGCGUGGGGGAAUGAAGGUCUUCGGAUUGUAAACCCCUGUCAUGUGGGAGCAAAUUAAAAAGAUAGUACCACAAGAGGAAGAGACGGCUAACUCUGUGCCAGCAGCCGCGGUAAUACAGAGGUCUCAAGCGUUGUUCGGAAUCACUGGGCGUAAAGCGUGCGUAGGCUGUUUCGUAAGUCGUGUGUGAAAGGCGCGGGCUCAACCCGCGGACGGCACAUGAUACUGCGAGACUAGAGUAAUGGAGGGGGAACCGGAAUUCUCGGUGUAGCAGUGAAAUGCGUAGAUAUCGAGAGGAACACUCGUGGCGAAGGCGGGUUCCUGGACAUUAACUGACGCUGAGGCACGAAGGCCAGGGGAGCGAGAGGGAUUAGAUACCCUUGUAGUC